rnacentral:tRNA from 1 species
GAAAUAGCUCUGGUAGAGCACAUGCUUGGCUUGCAUGAGGGCCUGGGUUCAAUCCCAGUACCUUCA